rnacentral:rRNA from 1 species
AGUCGAACGGCAGCACGGGAGCAAUCCUGGUGGCGAGUGGCGAACGGGUGAGUAAUAUAUCGGAACGUGCCCAGUCGUGGGGGAUAACGCAGCGAAAGCUGUGCUAAUACCGCAUACGUCCUGAGGGAGAAAGCGGGGGAUCGCAAGACCUCGCGCGAUUGGAGCGGCCGAUAUCGGAUUAGCUAGUUGGUGAGGUAAAGGCUCACCAAGGCGACGAUCCGUAGCUGGUCUGAGAGGACGACCAGCCACACUGGAACUGAGACACGGUCCAGACUCCUACGGGAGGCAGCAGUGGGGAAUUUUGGACAAUGGGGGCAACCCUGAUCCAGCCAUUCCGCGCGAGUGAAGAAGGCCUUCGGGUUGUAAAGCUCUUUCAGCAGGAACGAAACGGUGGCUCCUAAUACGAGCUACUAAUGACGGUACCUGAAGAAGAAGCACCGGCUAACUACGUGCCAGCAGCCGCGGUAAU